GAUUGCAGCUGGGUUUGGUCAAGUUCCCUGCACCUUCACUGGAUUGACUUUAACAAACGCAACCAAACUCCCCUCUGCAAAGCACUCCGUGAUGAGUGACUAAACCCAGCUGCGGGGUUCACCCUUGCAGAUUGCGCAUAGACCUAGACCCCAGAGCAGCCUCCUGCUCAUCAUCACAAAAAAAAAAAAAGAAAAAGAAAAGAAAAGAAACAAACUAGAUCAAGGAUGCAGGUUGCAAGCCUUGCACUUUGUCCUCACCCAUCACAAGGACGUGUCUGAGAGUCAGCUGCGCAUCAGAGAGAGAUUAACAGUGGAGGGUAACCGGGGACCCAAGACUUUGCUGCUGAGCCGGCCGCAAUUAAAUUCUGCUGUCUGUGUGGACGCUGUCUCCUUAAGCCCACCCCUGCUGCUCCUGGAUUUAGGUCAGGAUCACAGAUCUGAUGGACAGUUCCUGGCACUCAAGCACUGGGCGAUCUCUCCCCCUCUUGCGGGGCUGUUACGGCCACGGUGUCUUCGGCCACGUUCCUUCUUCCUGCAAUGACCCGUCUGCAGCGCACCCUAGUCCUUGCCCAGCAGGGGGUGCUGUCAGCUGCCCCCUCCUGCUGCUCUGCCAAGGCGCUCGCUGGCCAUGCUUCCUCGCCCGUGUUGCUGUGAAGAUCCUCCGCUGGUGGUGGAGCUCUGUUGACUUCAGUGGAGCUAUGCCCAUUGCACGAGCGGAGAGUCUGGCCCAACGAUUUUGCCCCAGGUGGCACAAGCAGUGCCCAGGGUGGCCGUCAGGUGCAGAGAGGCAUGAUGCUCUCCUUUUCCUUUCUUAGUACAAAACCUGGGGGGAUGGCAUGCCAGCCCACACCAGCUGAUACCCACACAGUCAUAUAGGGUGAGGGGCAGUUGGGCUAGUUUUCUAUUCAACUAAGGGCAUAGCUCCCCUCUUCCACCUCCAUCAGGGGAUCUUGCAAGAAUUAAUAGUCAGUCUCACAAUCCCCACCCCCAACAAACACCCUGACCUUUAUUUUACAGAGGGGGAAACUGAGGCACAGAGUGGGGAAAUGGACCCUCCCAUGUCCUACCUUGACAGCUGGGACAAUCCUUGCUUAUGUACAAGCAAAAUCUCCAGAAUGAGCUAAAUGUGAUCCUGCCUUUCUAUGCAUGCAGGCUCUGCUGCUCUGAGGGCCGGCCUGCCUGUCUGAUCUGACUGCACUUCUAACGCCUGUCCCCGUGAGCUGUAGGGGACUGAUGGUUCCCUCAGUAGAGUGCUUGGGAGGCAGAGCAGUUUGGUGGUUGAGAGACCAGACUAAGGCUUAUGCGAUCUGGGUUAUUAUUUAUUUGUAUGGACCAGGAUCCCACUGUGCCAGGAGCUGUCCAAACCUAGAACAAAAAGGCAGUCCCACAGUCUAAGGGUUCAGAUCCUGGUUCUCCCACUGCCUCCCGGCGUGAUCUCAGCAGGCCAUUCGAUCUCUCUGUGCCUCAGUUCCCAGCCCAUGAAAGGGGAUCAUGAGAGUUGCUUUCUGUCCCACUGGGGCUGCCCUGUCUCUUUGUGGGAGGGGCUGUCUCUUGCUCUGUCUGUGCAGUGCCUGGUGCAAUGAGGCUUGGGUGGGGUCUCUAGGCCCUACCUGAAUAUAAUAAUAAUAAAGGGUCAGGCCCAAAGCAGGGGACACAGGCAAAGAGCAGCUGGUCUCUGCUGGGGUUUCCCAACCAGGGAUGGCUGAGCCAAUUUGGAUCAAGAAAGGAGAAUCCCCUGACGCCCAACCUCCUCCAUUGCCCCAAACUCAGUCCCACCCUGGACCAUGCCUUCCCCCAGGGCUGAGAAGGUUUUCUAUUAGUGUCCAUUUCUGCAGCUGGUCCUGGCUAGGGGCAGGCUGGGGCAGGCAGUUCUAGCAGGGCGCAAGGCUGAGGAGGAGGUUGGGAAAACCUCCCGGGACUCCAUCCUGUGCGGUGCCCUCUGUUCCUAUGGACUCCACUGCACGCUGGGCUUGGCAUUUGCCUGGCACUCGAUUUUAACCCUCAAGCCAGGCUUGCCAUUGAAGGGUUGCCGGAUGACCUGUCACCUCAACCUAGCCCCUCUGCCCCUCUGAUCUGGAAUCAGGCUUUUCCCUCUGCGUCAGUUCAGGCUUUCGCUCCUCCACUGCUCCGAGGGCGUGAGGGAGGGCUGAAGGAGGAGGGUAGUCCCAGAGGCAGGGUGCAUUAUCGGGGUGGAGGGCAGCCCUGCUUGCUUGGAUCUUGCUGGCUUGGUGAGGCCAGACCCCUUGACUAAAGGCUUGUCUGGAGAUUUUUUCUACUGUUCUCCCAUAUCACUCUCCACAUGGACACUCUCCUUCCACUAGAAGACUGGCUUUUUCUUCAGUUUAGUUGAAACCACUUCCAAAGCAACAUGCACUAAAUCAGACCAUGGCCCUUUUGUUCCAGAAGGUGUGUGUCCACAUGGGGAGUCAUGCUGGUAUAACAAUUGCGGUGUAAAUUCAGAUCCUGCUUUCCUGUGUAGACAAACCCUUAGGGGCUUGUGGCUUAGUGUUUGUUCGCAUGGGCGUCUCUGCUCUCUGGAUCAUUAGCUAAACAGCAAUAAUGGCUCUGCAAAGACUAAUCUGGCUCUCUCCAAGCCACUACCGCCCAGCCUCAUCUCACUCAGCCAUGCUGGCUUUAAUUACACCUCAUGGAAGGAGUAGGUGCACACGUCCCCCGUGGCACAUUAAUGUGCAGCAGUGGAAUGGAAGCUGUCACAGGGAAUGUUAGGGGGAUAGAUUCACCUACCAAGCAGUGAGGCUGCCCCUCCUCCUGUCCUCUUCCCCUGAUCCUAUCCCUCAGACUAACCUACUCCCCUUUUUCUCCCAGCACCAAAUUCCCUAUCCCCUGCCACACCAUCUCCGGUUACCCUAUUUCCUUCUCCCUGGCUUUAGGAUUUUAGACAUUGGAAUUUCUGCAGCAAACAACUGGCCAAGUUAAUUGCAUUUCACAGAGAAGUCAAAGCUGGGGCAGGAAAUGGUAGAAAAUCAGGUUGCAAGAUUUUUUUCUGGGAAAAGUAAUUAUUCCCCACAUCAGCAAAACUCUAGGAACAAAUAGAUUUUUCUAAAUUUGCCAAUUUUUUUUUCAUCUUUGGCCAUCUAAUUUGCCAGCCCUAUUUUCAGUGGGUUUUCAGUUAGUUGUGUGGUGGUGUUGGGUGGUGGUGGUUUUUUUUUUUAAAUGUUCCCUGAGGACAGUGAAUGUGACAUGUGCUGACUAUCAUGUGCUGACUGUGUGCAAAUCAAACCCCUCUUGGGUUGGAGAAGCCUCUAGGUGAAUUUCAAGGUCAGAGCUAAAAAUAGAUUAAAAUAAAUGAAAAUCCUCUUUGCUGUGAGCAGAGGAAGGAAUAAGACUGAGGGCUGGCAGGGGGGCUUUUUGUCCAUGGAUCUCAAAGCUGGGGAGAUGGCAUUAUCACUGUUGUACAGAGGGGGACACAAAGAGUGGAGAAAGACUUGCCAAAGGUCAUGCAGAGCCCGGAAUAGAACCCAGCUGUUCUGAGUCCCAGUUGUGACCUGAGCUACUGGACCAUGAAAGGAGCUUGGGAAAGGGGAGGUUGAGAUGCUGGAUCUGGGUUCGCUGUUGCUUGCACCAAAUAUGAUGUGAGUUUGGUGGUCUCAGCUUAGUUCUUAGUGGGAGUUUGUCCACGUCCCUGAAACACCCCUGUAGAAUUUGGGACAAGUUGGGGUGCGCAGCAGUCUCUGUUCUAGAGGGAUCCAGGGUUGGAGCAGCAGGAUUGCUGCAGGUCAGGACUAAGGGACAUCAGUAAAGUGGAUGUGAGAAGCCCAGGGGCUGGAAAUCAGGAAUGUUGAUAGAGAAAGGGGUUUGGGGGCAGGGCUUUCAGAAGGUCUCUGUCCACCUUGCCUGC